AUAUCAAUAAGCGGAGGAAAAGAAACCAACAGGGAUUGCCCUAGUAACGGCGAGUGAAGCGGCAACAGCUCAAAUUUGAAAUCAGGCCUUGUGCCCGAGUUGUAAUUUGUAGAGGAUGCUUUUGGUGCGGUGCCUUCUGAGUUCCCUGGAACGGGACGCCAGAGAGGGUGAGAGCCCCGUAUAGUCGGACACCUAGCCUCUGUAAAGCUCCUUCGACGAGUCGAGUAGUUUGGGAAUGCUGCUCUAAAUGGGAGGUAAAUUUCUUCUAAAGCUAAAUACCGGCCAGAGACCGAUAGCGCACAAGUAGAGUGAUCGAAAGAUGAAAAGCACUUUGAAAAGAGGGUUAAACAGCACGUGAAAUUGUUGAAAGGGAAGCGCUUGUGACCAGACUUGCGCCCUGUGAAUCAUCCGGCGUUCUCGCCGGUGCACUUCACUGGGUUCAGGCCAGCAUCGGUUCGCUUAGGGGGAUAAGAACGGAGGGAACGUAGCUCCCCUCGGGGAGUGUUAUAGCCCAUCGUACGAUGCCCCUCGGCGGACCGAGGUUCGCGCUCUGCAAGGAUGCUGGCGUAAUGGUCACCAGCGACCCGUCUUGAAACACGGACCAAGGAGUCAAGCAUUAGGGCGAGUGUUUGGGUGCAAAACCCGCACGCGUAAUGAAAGUGAAUGUAGGUGAGAGCUUCGGCGCAUCAUCGACCGAUCCUGAUGUAUUCGGAUGGAUUUGAGUAAGAGCCUUACCGCUUGGACCCGAAAGAUGGUGAACUAUGCCUGUAUAGGGUGAAGCCAGAGGAAACUCUGGUGGAGGCUCGCAGCGGUUCUGACGUGCAAAUCGAUCGUCAAAUAUGGGCAUGGGG
rnacentral:rRNA from 1 species